GGCGCCAUGGCUUAGUGGAAAAGCGCCUGUCUAGUAAACAGGAGGGUUCGAUCCCCAGUGGUGCCU
rnacentral:tRNA from 1 species